rnacentral:rRNA from 2 species
UUAAGCGACUAAGCGUACACGGUGGAUGCCCUGGCAGUCAGAGGCGAUGAAGGACGUGCUAAUCUGCGAUAAGCGUCGGUGAGGUGAUAUGAACCGCUAUAACCGGCGAUUUCCGAAUGGGGAAACCCAGUGUGUUUCGACACACUAUCAUUAACUGAAUCCAUAGGUUAAUGAGGCGAACCGGGGGAACUGAAACAUCUAAGUACCCCGAGGAAAAGAAAUCAACCGAGAUUCCCCCAGUAGCGGCGAGCGAACGGGGAGGAGCCCAGAGCCUGAAUCAGUGUGUGUGUUAGUGGAAGCGUCUGGAAAGGCGCGCGAUACAGGGUGACAGCCCCGUACACAAAAAUGCACAUGCUGUGAGCUCGAUGAGUAGGGCGGGACACGUGGUAUCCUGUCUGAAUAUGGGGGGACCAUCCUCCAAGGCUAAAUACUCCUGACUGACCGAUAGUGAACCAGUACCGUGAGGGAAAGGCGAAAAGAACCCCGGCGAGGGGAGUGAAAAAGAACCUGAAACCGUGUACGUACAAGCAGUGGGAGCCUCUUUAUGGGGUGACUGCGUACCUUUUGUAUAAUGGGUCAGCGACUUAUAUUCUGUAGCAAGGUUAACCGAAUAGGGGAGCCGAAGGGAAACCGAGUCUUAACUGGGCGUUAAGUUGCAGGGUAUAGACCCGAAACCCGGUGAUCUAGCCAUGGGCAGGUUGAAGGUUGGGUAACACUAACUGGAGGACCGAACCGACUAAUGUUGAAAAAUUAGCGGAUGACUUGUGGCUGGGGGUGAAAGGCCAAUCAAACCGGGAGAUAGCUGGUUCUCCCCGAAAGCUAUUUAGGUAGCGCCUCGUGAAUUCAUCUCCGGGGGUAGAGCACUGUUUCGGCAAGGGGGUCAUCCCGACUUACCAACCCGAUGCAAACUGCGAAUACCGGAGAAUGUUAUCACGGGAGACACACGGCGGGUGCUAACGUCCGUCGUGAAGAGGGAAACAACCCAGACCGCCAGCUAAGGUCCCAAAGUCAUGGUUAAGUGGGAAACGAUGUGGGAAGGCCCAGACAGCCAGGAUGUUGGCUUAGAAGCAGCCAUCAUUUAAAGAAAGCGUAAUAGCUCACUGGUCGAGUCGGCCUGCGCGGAAGAUGUAACGGGGCUAAACCAUGCACCGAAGCUGCGGCAGCGACGCUUAUGCGUUGUUGGGUAGGGGAGCGUUCUGUAAGCCUGUGAAGGUGUGCUGUGAGGCAUGCUGGAGGUAUCAGAAGUGCGAAUGCUGACAUAAGUAACGAUAAAGCGGGUGAAAAGCCCGCUCGCCGGAAGACCAAGGGUUCCUGUCCAACGUUAAUCGGGGCAGGGUGAGUCGACCCCUAAGGCGAGGCCGAAAGGCGUAGUCGAUGGGAAACAGGUUAAUAUUCCUGUACUUGGUGUUACUGCGAAGGGGGGACGGAGAAGGCUAUGUUGGCCGGGCGACGGUUGUCCCGGUUUAAGCGUGUAGGCUGGUUUUCCAGGCAAAUCCGGAAAACCAAGGCUGAGGCGUGAUGACGAGGCACUACGGUGCUGAAGCGACAAAUGCCCUGCUUCCAGGAAAAGCCUCUAAGCAUCAGGUAACAUCAAAUCGUACCCCAAACCGACACAGGUGGUCAGGUAGAGAAUACCAAGGCGCUUGAGAGAACUCGGGUGAAGGAACUAGGCAAAAUGGUGCCGUAACUUCGGGAGAAGGCACGCUGAUAUGUAGGUGAAGCGACUUGCUCGUGGAGCUGAAAUCAGUCGAAGAUACCAGCUGGCUGCAACUGUUUAUUAAAAACACAGCACUGUGCAAACACGAAAGUGGACGUAUACGGUGUGACGCCUGCCCGGUGCCGGAAGGUUAAUUGAUGGGGUUAGCGGCAACGCGAAGCUCUUGAUCGAAGCCCCGGUAAACGGCGGCCGUAACUAUAACGGUCCUAAGGUAGCGAAAUUCCUUGUCGGGUAAGUUCCGACCUGCACGAAUGGCGUAAUGAUGGCCAGGCUGUCUCCACCCGAGACUCAGUGAAAUUGAACUCGCUGUGAAGAUGCAGUGUACCCGCGGCAAGACGGAAAGACCCCGUGAACCUUUACUAUAGCUUGACACUGAACAUUGAGCCUUGAUGUGUAGGAUAGGUGGGAGGCUUUGAAGUGUGGACGCCAGUCUGCAUGGAGCCGACCUUGAAAUACCACCCUUUAAUGUUUGAUGUUCUAACGUUGGCCCGUAAUCCGGGUUGCGGACAGUGUCUGGUGGGUAGUUUGACUGGGGCGGUCUCCUCCUAAAGAGUAACGGAGGAGCACGAAGGUUGGCUAAUCCUGGUCGGACAUCAGGAGGUUAGUGCAAUGGCAUAAGCCAGCUUGACUGCGAGCGUGACGGCGCGAGCAGGUGCGAAAGCAGGUCAUAGUGAUCCGGUGGUUCUGAAUGGAAGGGCCAUCGCUCAACGGAUAAAAGGUACUCCGGGGAUAACAGGCUGAUACCGCCCAAGAGUUCAUAUCGACGGCGGUGUUUGGCACCUCGAUGUCGGCUCAUCACAUCCUGGGGCUGAAGUAGGUCCCAAGGGUAUGGCUGUUCGCCAUUUAAAGUGGUACGCGAGCUGGGUUUAGAACGUCGUGAGACAGUUCGGUCCCUAUCUGCCGUGGGCGCUGGAGAACUGAGGGGGGCUGCUCCUAGUACGAGAGGACCGGAGUGGACGCAUCACUGGUGUUCGGGUUGUCAUGCCAAUGGCACUGCCCGGUAGCUAAAUGCGGAAGAGAUAAGUGCUGAAAGCAUCUAAGCACGAAACUUGCCCCGAGAUGAGUUCUCCCUGACUCCUUGAGGGUCCUGAAGGAACGUUGAAGACGACGACGUUGAUAGGCCGGGUGUGUAAGCGCAGCGAUGCGUUGAGCUAACCGGUACUAAUGAACCGUGAGGCUUAACCUU